GUGAGCACUAUAUACGUCUCUCAUUUUUUAUAUACCGAGGAAUUGUCCAGGACCCCAUCACCUAUAUCCUACCAGUGGGGGAUUGACGCCACUGAACGCUAAGAACACUUGAGCAAGGUUUUUUUGCUCACGCCAAGGUGAGUCAUUUACCUACUUACAGACCUAUACCUGGAAACUAUAUCGACAUUCUACACUAUUGGAGUUCCUCUUCCUCUUCUUUUUUUUAAUGUAUCUACGUAUUGACAAGCAUUUCAAGACAUCCUCAACAUAAGAAGACUCAGAUACCCAUUUGGACUGU